UGAAGCCCAGUGAGACAGUGGAGGAGAGGGGUCAUGCCACUGCAGUUCCUCGCUAUGCCAUUCAUACAGAGCAUUCUCCAUGCUCAGGAGUCCAGGAGUCCAGUGGGCCCAUGAUGCCCAGGAGCUCGUCGAGACUCAGGGAGCAAAACAGAUCCAUUGAAAAUGACACGAGAAGGAACGAGAGAGCAAGGAUGAUCCAUAGCUCCCUGCCCUUUCAUUCAGCCUCAUCAUAAGCCAAAGGUGCGGAAGACCUACUUAAAACCUGAGAGUCUCGAAUAGGAGAGGCGCUUUCAGAUCAGCCCGAGUCUUCUGCAGCGCACAGGAGCUAGUCGUACUGAAAAGAAUGAAGUUGGACUUGUCCAGGCGAGUUUCGGACAGUGCUGGGCUGCCCUGCUCUGAUCUCCUGGGUGUCUUCACCUCCUCUGGUUCCUAAGUCGGCUGCUGCACCAGCACCCAUCAAACUCUCCUGGAAGAGGAAGUGACAGCUCACCGGUAGCCUAGAAGGCCCCUGUGGGCAGAAGCAUGGACUUACUCCUCCUCAUGGAGAUGCGGCUGAGCCAUAUUUCCUUGGCACCUCUCUGGAACCUUCGACAACCACCACCUCAGACACUAACCAGACUUUAGGUCCAUUCCUUUCAUGGCUAAAAUGAGACAGUCCACAAUGUUGAUUUUAUUUGUAGGGGAUGUCAGGAUUCCAGAAAAGCAGACUUGGAAAGCAACAAAACGUUAACUUGCAGCUCACUGAGGCCCUUACACUUGUUCUGGGCACCUCUGUAUGUUAAAAGAAGUCCAAUAUCUUUAGCUGCUGGUUAUAGGUGGCCAUAUGUUUCUGCACAGAAAUGGGGCUCCCCUUGCUAGACUAAUUUUCUAAUUUUUCCUCAAGCUUCAUUGAUUCAUAUUCUUCUACUUGACCCUGACUGUCAGGACCAACAACACCAAAUAACACCAAAGUCUCUUGCUCCUGUCCUCAGAACCUCUCAGAGGCAUCCUCUGCCCUGUUGGAGCCAUUUUAUUUCAGGUUGAUCCUUAAUUAAAUUCAGCGAGAUGCAGGACCUGUGUGUGUGAGUGUGGAUCUUGUGUGUGAAUGUGGACCUGUGUGUGUGAACGUGGGCCUGUGUGAGUGUGGGCCUGUGUGUGAGAGUGGACCUGUGUGUGUGAGUGUGGGCCUGUGUGUGAGUGUGGAUGUGUGUGUGUGAGUGUGGGCCUGUGUGUGUGAGUGUGGACCUGUGUGUGUGAGUGUGGGCCUGUGUGUGAGUGUGCAACUGUGUGUGUGUGAAUGUGGAUCUGUAUGUGAACAUGGACCUGUGUGUGUGUGUGUGGACCUGUGUGUGUGAAUGUGGAUCUGUAUGUGAACGUGGACCUGUGUGUGUGUGUGUGGACCUGUGUGUGUGAAUGUGGAUCAAUCGCAGAGAAUGGAUUGGCUUGCAUAGCCAAGCACAGGAAGGGCCGACGAAUGGGACACCUGGAGCCAGGACUCAGAGGCCCUCAGGGCCACCUCUGUCCCAUCUCUCCCUGCAGGCUGAAGUUUUCAGUCUCCAGCUGACACUGAGACCCCAGCGUCUGAGACCAAAAGGAAAACAAUCAAAUAAGCAACAGUUCUGAUCCCAACAGGCCAAGUUGCCUCUUUCAGGAAAAAUCUGCUCACAUCAUGAAUUCUGGACACGCAAUUGUUGUUUAAAUAGUUCAUUCCCAAGAGGCCACCCUUCACUGAUAGAUACAGCUUUGUGUAAUAUGACCGUAGCUUCGUCUCUGUAAUUUCAGUAAGACUACAAUUCCCACCUCAAGAGGUGGAAGUGAAGUCUAAUUUUCCGUGAGGAUCACGUGUGCAUGUGGAUGUGUGUGUGUUUCUUUUUCUGUGGGUCCAAGUCUUUAUCUUGCUAAAUCCAUUACACCUCCUCUCUGCCUGUCUGCACUGGAGAUAAAAAAUGGCAUUUUCUGGCCUCAGGCCACUGCAUUUGGCCAAACAUUCUCCCAGCAAAGUUAUGAACAAAAUUUCCUCCUCCAUUUGUGCUCUUCUGAAAGAGACGUCUGGCUGCAUUCACUGUCCACUGUCCUCAGAGAAUAACUGAAGGAACAAAUGAAACCAGAUAUAAUGAGCUCUGUGCCUGUCAUCUUGAGUUUCAAUGAACUUAUCUCUUUACUGGCUUUGAAGAGCUGAAAUCACUCCAUGUGCUGGGGGGGUAGUUUAGAGAAUAUGAAGAAUUUGAUCCUUGGUGGGGCUAAAUAGUUGUGAUCCUGGGCUACUUUUGAGUUGUUUCUCCUUGGCUGACAUGGACUUUCUGAAGGCACUUGUUUUCAAGAGAAAUCAGAAAUAUGCUUCAGAAAAAUAACCAUCAAAUCAUUUUGGAAGAAAUAAGAAAAGAACAUUUAUUUUAGCAAUAAGAUAAUCUCUUCUGGGAUUCAUAACUAAUUUGGUGGAAGUGUUUCUAUUUUAAAUAAAAUCCACAUCAGUAUUAGAAGAAUGUGGAUUGAUUUUCUGGGCCUUUUAGGGCCACCAACCUCAGCAUUUGCCGAAUGUGGACUCAAGGACUCUGUCUCUUUGCACUUGCUGCUUCCUGUUUUUGGAGAUGCUUCUACCUCCUCUCUCUGACAAACUUCUUCCUACUCACCUGGCAGGGUCCAGCUGCACACCCCCUCUUCCAUGAGGCCUGCUGGCGCUCCCACUUCCCCAACCUCUCCUCACCAUGCACAGGGGCGGCCACUCUCCUCUUUGGACUCUCGCAGCCUCUUUUUAUAGUUCUAUCUAGGUCUUUGCUAUAUUUGCCCGGGGAGGCUGUGAUCAACAUGGGAACAGGGGUUUGGUUUUGUUCAUUUUCAUUUUCGCAGGCCUUGGAGGACUCACGCAGCUUGUAAUGGCACAGGCUUGAUGGAUGGAUGAAUUGGCAAAUCACUUUGAGGAAAAUCUCUUUGAUUGGUAUAUUUGAUUCCUAGUUAACAAACUGC
rnacentral:lncRNA from 1 species